GGACGAAGUCUGAUCGAGCCAUGCCGCGUGAGUGAGAAGGUUUUCGGAUUGUAAAGCUCUUUUGUUAGAGAAGACGAGUGUGAGAGUGGAAAGUUCACACUGUACCGGUCUCUUACCAGAAAGGGACGGCUAACUACGUGCCAGCACCCGUAGUAAUACGUAGGUCCCGAGCGUUGUCCGGAUUUAUUGGGCGUAAAGGGAGCGCAGGCGGUUAGAAAAGUCUGAAGUUAAAGGCUGUGGCUUAA
rnacentral:rRNA from 1 species